AGGAUUAACGCUGGCGGCGUGCCUAACACAUGCAAGUCGAACGAGGUAGCAAUACCUAGUGGCAGACGGGUGAGUAACGCGUGGUCAACCUACCGUUGAGUGGGGGAUAACUAGCCGAAAGGUUAGCUAAUACCGCAUACGAGUCUCGGGGGCAUCCCUGGGCCUUAAAAGGAGCAAUCCGCUCGAUGACGGGACCGCGUCCCAUUAGCUAGAUGGUGGGGUAAUGGCCUACCAUGGCUCCGAUGGGUAGCUGGUUUGAGAGAGCGACCAGCCACACUGGGACUGAGAAACGGCCCAGACUCCUACGGGAGGCAGCAGUGAGGAAUUUUCCGCAAUGGGCGAAAGCCUGACGGAGCGACGCCGCGUGUGGGAAGAAGGUUUUCGGAUCGUAAACUGCUUUUCUCGGGGAAGAGAACGGACGGUACCCGAGGAAUCGAGCCCCGGCUAACUACGUGCCAGCAGCCGC
rnacentral:rRNA from 1 species